ACUGAGAUGCUGGAUUAACGUUAAAGAACUGUAGAGACCAAAGUUCAAGGGCAAGUUUUAAUGUAUAUUUUCAAGAUUCCCUGUAGCCUGAGCUUAUGAUGUCUUAAAAGGUCGACUGAAGGAAACUCAGCAGUUAACAGCCCUGCUUCUCUUGGGCAAGGAACCCUGAAUGAGUAUAACUGCUGAGAUAAGACUGUAAACUGAAGCUUGCAUUAAAUAAGGAAUAUUGCUUCCUGCCACUCUCUAAGCAAGGUGAAAAUCUUUAGCCUUGCCUUUUCCUAAAUAAACUUAUGAAAGUAUAUGUAUUUGUGUGCAUAUAAUGUAUUAAAUAACACGACUUCAUGCUCUUUUUCUUUAAGUGGAAGAUGAGAAAAUAUUUGUGAAGCUAAUGUGCUUUUUGCUAUUUAAUGCACCAUUGGAAAGCAUUUACAUUUGCAUUUAAAGGUCACACGAAUUAAAAAUAAAGUCCCAGGAUCAGCUGGGGACAGCUCGAACAGAAAGAACAGAGGACUCUAGAGAUAAUGAAUUGUGCACUGUCACCUGGGAGUUUCAGGAAAACAGCCACUGGCGAUACAACUUCUAUAUGUGCAGAGUGAGGGAACAUUUGCUCCAAAACAUCCAAAAUCAGCAUCCAGAUUAUGGGGAUAGAUUACACAGAAACACACACACACACACAAGUUUCAAAUGGACAAGCACCUUUGGUACCUCAUGAAUUUAUGAGGUAUGUUUAAUUACUCCUUUGAAUCCUUUCAGUGAAGAGGAUUAUUUGAGGUCAGAGAAUGGGGAGAAUAUUAAUAAUUAUGAUCUCAUAUAGUCUGAGUGCAAAUGAUCCCAAUGUUAGCACUGAAAUCAUUAAUACGGAUAUUCAUUUUGUAACAGCAGCUCAUUUACUCCAGCUAUAAUUGUCCCUGGUAUGUAUUUAGGGAUAAAGUGAUGUGAAAUGUUUCUUUGCAGAAAGUGUUGGUUAUAACGUAUAUGAAACUGGGAAAAGCUAUUGUUUUAAGAGUUUGAUGUAUACAAAACUGAGGUUUCAUGUGAAAAAAAUCAGAGGAAAAUGCAUUUAUAGCCGAUGUAUUUUAGUCUAAAAUGAAAAAAUAACUAAGUAGUUACACCACACAAAACUGUGAAAAAGACAGAUAGUGCACUUUCAUCAUAUGUUAAUCAGAUUUGUCUUUUCUACACACAUAAAAUUCUUUAGGUGUAAUCCGCACAACUAGAAGAUUUCUAGAAGGUGUCAUCAAUCAUUUAUAGUCACUGAUAAUGAUAAUAUACAUGGAAUAUAAUCUUCAAUCAGAGUGAAAUUCUCCAUAAUGACUUCAGAUCAAAAAAGAAAAUAUAUAUAUAUAUAUAGGUUAUCUGUAAAUAGAGAAAGAAUUUAAUCACUCUAUAGGAUUUUAUUUUCUUUCAGACCAAAUUUUACAUUCUUCACAAAUAAAAUUUGAAAUAGGCCUAGUGUAUUUUAUCCC
rnacentral:lncRNA from 1 species